rnacentral:rRNA from 1 species
AAUCAACGCUGGCGGCGUGCCUCAGACAUGCAAGUCGAACGAUUAAAGCUCUCUUCGGAGAGUGCAUAAAGUGGCGCACGGGUGAGUAACACGUAAGUAAUCUACCCUCGAGUGGGGAAUAACGUCCGGAAACGGACGCUAAUACCGCAUAAUGCAGCGGCACCGCAAGGUGACAGUUGUUAAAGAUUUAUCGCUUGAGGAGGAGCUUGCGGCAGAUUAGCAGUUGGUAAGGUAAUGGCUUACCAAGGCUACGAUCUGUAACCGGUCUAAGAGGACGGUCGGUCACACUGACACUGAAUAACGGGUCAGACUCCUACGGGAGGCAGCAGUCGGGAAUUUUGGGCAAUGGGGGAAACCCUGACCCAGCAACGCCGCGUGAAGGAUGAAGUAUUUCGGUAUGUAAACUCGAAAGAAUAGGAAGAAUAAUGACGUACUAUUAUAAGGUCCGGCUAACUACGUGCCAGCAGCCGCCGUAAG